rnacentral:rRNA from 1 species
ACGAACGCUGGCGGCGUGCCUAAUACAUGCAAGUCGAACGCUGAAGAGAGGAGCUUGCUCUUCUUGGAUGAGUUGCGAACGGGUGAGUAACGCGUAGGUAACCUGCCUUGUAGCGGGGGAUAACUAUUGGAAACGAUAGCUAAUACCGCAUAACAAUGGAUGACACAUGUCAUUUAUUUGAAAGGGGCAAUUGCUCCACUACAAGAUGGACCUGCGUUGUAUUAGCUAGUAGGUGAGGUAAUGGCUCACCUAGGCGACGAUACAUAGCCGACCUGAGAGGGUGAUCGGCCACACUGGGACUGAGACACGGCCCAGACUCCUACGGGAGGCAGCAGUAGGGAAUCUUCGGCAAUGGGGGCAACCCUGACCGAGCAACGCCGCGUGAGUGAAGAAGGUUUUCGGAUCGUAAAGCUCUGUUGUAAGUCAAGAACGGGUGUGAGAGUGGAAAGUUCACACUGUGACGGUAGCUUACCAGAAAGGGACGGCUAACUACGUG